GACGAACGCUGGCGGCGUGCCUAAUACAUGCAAGUCGAACGCUUCUUUUUCCACCGGAGCUUGCUCCACCGGAAAAAGAGGAGUGGCGAACGGGUGAGUAACACGUGGGUAACCUGCCCAUCAGAAGGGGAUAACACUUGGAAACAGGUGCUAAUACCGUAUAACAAUCGAAACCGCAUGGUUUUGAUUUGAAAGGCGCUUUCGGGUGUCGCUGAUGGAUGGACCCGCGAUGCAUUAGCUAGUUGGUGAGGUAACGGCUCACCAAGGCCACGAUGCAUAGCCGACCUGAGAGGGUGAUCGGCCACAUUGGGACUGAGACACGGCCCAAACUCCUACGGGAGGCAGCAGUAGGGAAUCUCCGGCAAUGGACGAAAGUCUGACCGAGCAACGCCGCGUGAGUGAAGAAGGUUCUCGGAUCGUAAAACUCUGUUGUUAGAGAAGAACAAGGAUGAGAGUAACUGUUCAUCCCUUGACGGUAUCUAACCAGAAAGCCACGGCUAACUACGUGCCAGCAGCCGCAGUAA
rnacentral:rRNA from 1 species